UAAAGCGAUGAAAGUCCAGGAUGCUC
rnacentral:piRNA from 1 species